UUGCAAUUCUUGCUGUUCUGAUUUUAAAAUAAUCAGGGCAAGCUAAACAUUCACUGUAAUAAUACCAUGCAUGUGUCUCCAGACCUAGGUCUUUCCCUACGUCUGGUUUUAUCAGUGGUGGUGAUAAAC